ACGAACGCUGGCGGCAUGCCUAACCCAUGCAAGUCGAACGAGACCUUCGGGUCUAGUGGCGCACGGGUGCGUCACGCGUGGGAACCUGCCCUUAGGUUCGGAAUAACUCCCCGAAAGGGGUGCUAAUACCGGAUAAUGUCUUCGGACCAAAGAUUUAUCGCCUUUGGAUGGGCCCGCGUUGGAUUAGCUAGUUGGUAGGGUAAAAGCCUACCAAGGCGACGAUCCAUAGCUGGUCUGAGAGGAUGAUCAGCCACACUGGGACUGAGACACGGCCCAGACUCCUACGGGAGGCAGCAGUGGGGAAUAUUGGACAAUGGGCGAAAGCCUGAUCCAGCAAUGCCGCGUGAGUGAUGAAGGCCUUAGGGUUGUAAAGCUCUUUUACCCGGGAUGAUAAUGACAGUACCGGGAGAAUAAGCUCCGGCUAACUCCGUG
rnacentral:rRNA from 1 species